GUUUCGGAUUUCAGAUUCUGAAACUACAGCAAACUCUCAGCGCUCUUAGGCUAGCUCCGCGACGGCUCCCAAGGCUGGAGACUCCAAAUCGAAUCCUCUUCGGACUGCCACGCUGCAAAAGACGUCCUGGGAUUGUAUUCCAAUUACAUGACGUUUGUUAAAAUCCCACUACAUUUUUUACGAAAUGGAACGUUUGAUUGCCGCGGGCGGAGAGCGUUUCCCGGUAUAGAGCUCGGUGCGACCCUGCACACGACCUUGGCACAGAGCACAUGCGGGGUAAACGUGGACGAUGAAGGGCUUCGUGGCCUUUUAGGACGCGACUGUUUUAUUUAUUGGGGAGUCAGAUUAACGAAGCUAGGACGGCUGCGGAUGUCUUGCUUAGUGAAGAACCCGGGCCUGUACAUUCGGGUCCAAGUAAACCGUUUUGCACUGUGCUUCCAUUGCCUCCUAUUUUUCAAACUGUUAUUAUCUGGGCAGUUACUUCACUUCUUGUUAUGUCGAGAAAAGGCCAGGGAAUGAUGCAAUUACCAAAGGAAUCAAGAAACCUUCCAGCGCAGCCUCAGUUCAGAAUCCCUCAUGAAAUAGGAGCAGAAGGCAAUCGCAUGUAACUCAGCUUUGAAAGUGCCAACCGUUCAGUUGGACUGAUGUAACCCAAGAGACCCCGCUCCGCUGCAAGAUGGAAGGAGGCUUAAGUAAAACAGAUAUAAAUUUGUAAUGAACUUGCUCGCAACAUCCGGCGCCGCUGUGAAUUACAGCCUUCGCCCAUCACCGUAGACUUCAGAAUUUGUUCUUGUUUUCAGCAAUUCAGAAAUGGAGUUUACAUUCUUGAUAAAAUUUGUCAAAAAUUAUUUAAUAAUACGCAAACAGGAAGAUUAAAAUGACUUAAUAAAUAAAGAUGGAAGCAUCACCAGAAGAAAUUUCUAAACGUAAUGACUAUAUUUUAGAUGGGACCCACACUCCUUUCCUGUAUCAAGGAAUUUUUCGGAAAUCGGGCGCUCACUGAAUGCUGCUGCUAAGUCACUUCAGUCGUGUCCGACUCUGUGCGACCCCAUAGACAGCAGCCCAUCAGGGUCCCCCGUCCCUGGGAUUCUCCAGGCAAGAACACUGGA
ensembl:lncRNA